rnacentral:tRNA from 1 species
GCCGGUGUGGCGGAAUUGGCUAUACGCGUGCGACUCAAAAUCGUAUGAACGAAAGUUCAUGUGGGUUCAACUCCCACCACCGGCACCA